rnacentral:rRNA from 1 species
GACGAACGCUGGCGGCGUGCUUAACACAUGCAAGUCGAACGGAGCGAAUGAAAGCUUGCUUUUAUAAGCUUAGUGGCAAACGGGUGAGUAACACGUAGACAACCUGCCGACAGGAUGGGGACAACAUUCCGAAAGGAAUGCUAAUACCGAAUGAAGCGGAGGAGAGGCAUCUCUCCUCUGUGAAAGAUGGCCUCUAUAUAUAAGCUAUCACCUGUCGAUGGGUCUGCGUCUGAUUAGCUGGUAGGUGAGGUAACGGCUCACCUAGGCGACGAUCAGUAGCCGGUCUGAGAGGAUGAACGGCCACAUUGGGACUGAGACACGGCCCAGACUCCUACGGGAGGCAGCAGUGGGGAAUCUUCCGCAAUGGGCGCAAGCCUGACGGAGCAACGCCGCGUGAGUGAAGAAGGUCUUCGGAUCGUAAAGCUCUGUUGAUGGGGACGAACGUGCCUAAUGCGAAUAGUAUUAGGUAU